rnacentral:misc_RNA from 1 species
UCCUGCUUAUACGCGGCAGUCUUCGUAUUUAAUUAAAAUACAAACAAGGGUUGCGCUCGUUGCCGGAAUUAACCAAACAUCUCACAACACGAGCUGACGACAGCCAUGCAGCGCCUGUUUGAAAAUAUUUAAAUAUCAUUCCUUUCUCGGGAGAUAUUUAAAUUGAUCUCAUCAAUAAACUAUUUUCACUGUCCAGAAUUGGUAAGGUUUUUCGCGUUGUAUCGAAUUAAACCACAUGCUCCACCGCUUGUGCAAACCUCCGUCAAUUUCUUUGAUUUUCAGCCUUGCGACCGUACUGAUCAGGCGGAAUAUUUAUCGCGUUAGCUUAUACACUGAAUCUUUCUGAUCCAACAUUUAAUAUUCAUCGUUGACAGCGUGGACUAC